AGCGAACGCUGGCGGCAGGCUUAACACAUGCAAGUCGAGCGGGCACUUCGGUGUCAGCGGCAGACGGGUGAGUAACACGUGGGAACGUGCCCUUCGGUUCGGAAUAACUCAGGGAAACUUGAGCUAAUACCGGAUACGCCCUUAUGGGGAAAGGUUUACUGCCGAAGGAUCGGCCCGCGUCUGAUUAGCUAGUUGGUGAGGUUACGGCUCACCAAGGCGACGAUCAGUAGCUGGUCUGAGAGGAUGAUCAGCCACACUGGGACUGAGACACGGCCCAGACUCCUACGGGAGGCAGCAGUGGGGAAUAUUGGACAAUGGGGGCAACCCUGAUCCAGCCAUGCCGCGUGAGUGAUGACGGCCAUAGGGUUGUAAAGCUCUUUUCUCCGGGACGAUAAUGACGGUACCGGAGGAAUAAGCCCCGGCUAACUUCGUGCCAGCCGCCGCCGUAA
rnacentral:rRNA from 1 species